UACGUAGGGUGCGAGCGUUGUCCGGAAUUAUUGGGCGUAAAGAGCUCGUAGGCGGCCUGUCGCGUCGGAUGUGAAAGCCCGGGGCUUAACCCCGGGUCUGCAUUCGAUACGGGCAGGCUAGAGUGUGGUAGGGGAGAUCGGAAUUCCUGGUGUAGCGGUGAAAUGCGCAGAUAUCAGGAGGAACACCGGUGGCGAAGGCGGAUCUCUGGGCCAUUACUGACGCUGUGGAGCGAAAGCGUGGGGAGCGAACAGG
rnacentral:rRNA from 1 species